rnacentral:rRNA from 1 species
GCUUUGGUUUGUGUGGGUGGGGUUC